UUAUAGCUCAUAGGACACAAGGAGCACAAGAUGAAUUGCGCAUUUACAGAGCCAAUGGUGUCUUUGCCUUACCUUUGUCAAUGUGCCUUUGUCAUGUGUUCAUGAGGCUUUUAACACAUCAGACCAAGGGCAGAGAGACGAAUUGCUUGUUCCCCAUAUUCAAGGUCGUCUGUGGUACAAGCAUAAUACGGGCAUGCCUGAUCCCAAUAAGGAACUUUUCACUGGGGGACUUGGAUGGGUUUGAAACCAGAAUAGUUCCUCUUCUACCACGUGCUGAAAAUAUGGGUAUCCUACCAAUAACUGGAAGGGCUAGGUUGCUCAAUUGAGGGGAGUGGGUUGAGGCUUUCUCUGCUUGCAGUUGUGUUGGGAUUUAGCAAGCUGUCCAUCAUUGCUUUUCUGUACAACGCUCUGACAACAAUGGUUUUCUGUUCCAAAGAUAGUUACUUUUAAUCAUCGGAGGGGAUAUCUCCAGUAAGACUCCAGCUGUAGACUUUUGGCUGAAUACAUAAGGACCUGAUGCUUCUGGUUCUCUUCUUCCGGAGUUUUUUUCUUUCAUGAACAAAAGAUUCUGGUUUCGGUGAAUAAGAAUGAAAUUUUGAAGUGACUGCCAUUGAUCAACAGAUCUCUUGAAACUUCCACUGGUUUCCAAAAUAAUGGUGAUUUCAAUUUUGUCAAGAUGGUAUUGGGACUGGGGUUUUUUAUUAAGUUCUGAUCACAAUGCAUCGUCAUUAAGUCGGACAAUGUGGAAACAAAUUGCUUUUAUAUGGAUAUGGUUUCUUUCUGGUCUUUGAUAGCUAUGGAAUUUGAUUAGGACAGAAGAUUUACUGAUUGUAGGAGUCUCGAUUAUUUCAGAGUCACUGUAAGGAUAAUACUAGCCUUAUGCUGGAUUGGUAGCAUUUGGUGCGCUUCCUUAGUGGUAAUUUCUCUUGAAAUGACUGGUUGGUUGCAGAUGGAUGAGGUUCUUAUCUUUUUGGGAAAUUGCUUCGGUCUGAUAUGGGAUUAGUCUAUUCUCUUUUCUUUGUUAUUUAAUUGCCAUCGCCUCGAUUCCCUUGUGAUGUAAAUAAGAUUUUCACCUGAUGGAGAUGUUUCACAAAACCAGUCUUACUCAUUUCUCUUCUUCUGAUGUCGUGGAAAUGGAUGGUCCUUUGAAUAGCAUAUACCAGGUGAUCGUCAAAAGUGUUGAUACCUCAUCCAUUUAUAGUGAGUAAUGUUCCUUCUUUGGUUAUACAGAUUCUUGCCAGCCAGUAUGUUGUGGUCUCUCUGGGAAAUGCUCCCCAAGCAUGGUUAUUGUGAAUGCUAUUAGAUGUGGAAUUAUUUACUUCUGUCCAGCUCCCGAUCUUUGUACUGAUGUAGAGGUCUUGGUGUAUCUCCAUCGCCUCCUAGGACCUGAAUUCAUUGUGGGGUUCGCCUAUGGCUUUCCUUCACAGUUGGUUAAGCAUGAUGCAAUCUCAUCUGACUAGGAACAUGUAUUACUCUACUGUCUUGAGAUUUACUUGUACGCUUAUAUUUGAAAACAUCUCUAGGACCCAUGAUUAUGAUGAUGGAGCUAUUGGUAGAAGUUUGAUAUUUGUAUUUAACUCCUUUCAGAAUCCCUCUUUUUAAUUUGACGUUUGAACGAAAUUAUGAUGCUCUCUCUCUUGACUGUUCUUUCUUUCGUUGGAUGACAAGUGGGAGAAGCAGGUCAUCUUGCAGAUUAUGAAUCUGUUUAUGUGAAGAAGCUGGGAUCUUCUAUUUCCAUUAACCUCAGCUCCAGGUUGUUGUGCUGAUUUCGAAUCUGUCUGGAGCCAGGUCCAUUGAUCUGUGUUCCUUAGCUCCUUUAUUCAUCAUCUCUUCCAAUUUUCUGGCAUUGUUAUUAUAUAUGUAUAUUAUGUGGUGGCAGAGCCACGCUUAAUUGCAAGGAGGUAGUGUCAACGUUAGUGAACUGUCCACAAACUUUCUGUAAAUCCAUGUUGAUAAGAGGGGUGAGUUUUAGCGUGAUUAAUGUGUCCUUCGUACUAAGAUGGGCUAUGACACUUGUUCUGGAUCAUUUUACAAAUGUGACAUUUGUAUUCAUAUGUAAAAGGAGCUUCUGUGGCACAAGUAACAGUUUUUAGCAUGCGUUUUGUAAACAGAGUUGGGUCUUUCCGUCUAUAAUCUGGAUAUUAGUGCACUGGUUAUGCAACUAUCGUGCCAACCUCAGCACUGGUGAAAAAUUGCGGUGAGGAAGGCUACUUUCAGCAAUGUGGCAGCCAUUGAAUUUUGCUAGAGUGCAACUAUGGUGGAUAGGUUGGCUACAUAGAAUGCAAUUUUGUCUUGAUUAAAGAACUAUACCUUAUCCCAUCUGGAGUAGAAAACCUGCUGCUCUGCUGAAUGCUUUUGUUUCCUUUUGUCGUAGUUAAGUCAACAGAAACAUCUAGAAGAUAAGAGUUGUCUUCAUUGUGAUGUGGCCAGAGGAGAGCGGGACCAGACCACUUGUUGCUGCUCAAGUAGGGAUGGAUGUAGAGUUGUUGGAAUAUGUGUUGUCAAGGGAGCAAUUGAAACUAGAUGGUUGCCGUACUGUAAUUCUCAAUUCCUAUUGAUAAUCUGCUCCUUUUUAUC